GAUGAACGCUGGCGGCGUGCUUAACACAUGCAAGUCGAACGAAGCACUUUGAAAGCUUGCUUUUAGAGUGACUGAGUGGCGGACGGGUGAGUAACGCGUGGGUAACCUGCCUUAUACAGGGGGAUAACAGUUGGAAACGACUGCUAAUACCGCAUAAGCGCACAGUGCCGCAUGGCACAGUGUGAAAAACUCCGGUGGUAUAAGAUGGACCCGCGUCUGAUUAGCUAGUUGGUGAGGUAACGGCUCACCAAGGCGACGAUCAGUAGCCGGCUUGAGAGAGUGAUCGGCCACAUUGGGACUGAGACACGGCCCAAACUCCUUCGGGAGGCAGCAGUGGGGAAUAUUGCACAAUGGGGGAAACCCUGAUCCAGCCAUGCCGCGUGAGUGAAGAAGGCCUUCGGGUUGUAAAGCUCUUUCGGCCGGGAAGAAAUCGCACGGGCUAAUACCCUGUGUGGAUGACGGUACCGGAAUAAGAAGCACCGGCUAACUAC
rnacentral:rRNA from 1 species